UAUCAGAUAUCCAUUUUAUUUGUCUUUGCAAACUAAGUUUUGUUAUAAUGGAAUCUCUUUUAAAGUUGUUGUUUAAAUAUUUUGUGUUAAUUUUUGCUAUUGUAGGUGCUCAUGUUGGGAAUGCACAAGACUUACCAUCAUGCUGCCCGCAUCCUAAUGUUGAAUGUCAACCAAUUCAUUGUCCUAAACUCCCAUGUUGCAAACCUCCUAUGCCUCCUAGUAGUGCUACAAAGCUUUGAAACUUCUCAUAUCGUCUAUUCCUACUGUUAAACCAAUCAAUUUGUAUUUGAGAUAACUUUAUAAGAAUUUUAGUUAUUUUAUUAAUAAGAUUGGUUAAUAAAUUGUUGUCUCUUGUUCUCUACUAAUGUUUGCCAAGGAAUUAAACUCUUUAUUGAGUAUAAUUAUAUCUUCAUUAUAAUGGAUUCAUAUAUGUUAUGGUGAACUGCUUGUCGAUUACAUCAAUCAUCAAUUGAUUAAAACUAAAAAAUUGUUUUUAAAGAAACUGUUAUAACGAUAAAAUAGUUUACCAUGUAAUAUUUAAAUAAAAACAAUUUUUUAAACAAUUUAAGAAUGGGAAAAAUUAUAUUUCCUAAAACUUGAAGUUAUUAAAAUAUUAUAAUGUUUCAUAAAAAAAACGUAUUUUCAUCUUUUGAGGUGUCGAGGACAAAUACAUAGCAUUGAGCUAAAUACAUUUUUUUACCAACCAAUAUUAAUCUUCAUAUCUUAAAAAAAACUGAUUUUGCAUAUAAUCAUAUAAUAAAUUAUAUAUACGGUUGUUGUGAUUUAUUAAAACAUAGAUUAAUAGUUAGUCAAGAAAAAAAGUGAAGUCAAUGGAAAAAAAAAGGUAGUCAAUGUUACAUAAAUAUAUUAGUUAAAAAUUAAUUUUAGUAAAGUCUAAAUGCAUAUAUAUUUUAAAAAUUGAAAUUCUAGAACUCUCUAUUUUAUUUUCUAUAAAUAAAUAAAAAAUGUACAUAUUUUAUUCCAAAUAAAACUCAAUAUCAGAUAUCCACUUUAUUUGUCUUUGCAAACUAAGUUUUGUUAUAAUGGAAUUUCUUUUGAAGUUGUUGUUUAACUAUUUUGUGUUAAUUGUUGCUAUUGUAGGUGCUCAUGUUGGGAAUGCACAAGACUUACCACCAUGCUGCGCGCAUCCUGGUCUUGAAUGUCAACCAAUUCAUUGUCCUAAACUCCCAUGUUGCAAACCUUCUACGCCUCCUAAUAGUGAUACAAAGCUUUGAAAUUUCUCAUAUCGUUUUUCCUACUGUUAAACCAAUCAAUU
rnacentral:lncRNA from 1 species